AUCACACAACCCGACACACCUAAGUUUCGCGAGGCUCGGCCCCUCUUCCCCUUCGGAUGUCCCCCUUCGGUACACCACCACAUCAUGCCAUCCAGUCUGGAGCGUCGCCGACUCCCGUUGGCCAAGGUAGGGCCAACACAAGAGUAGCGGACGAACCAGUCAUCUGGUCUUACCGGAGAAAGGGAGAGGUAGACUGCCACCACCAAACCCCACCCAAGCACACACCAGGCAGCAAAAAGCCAUCAUCCUAAAAGAUGGUCCCACUUCACAAGACGAGGAGGUUCCCCGUCCUUCAUUCCAACCCCAGGUGAGAACACACACACCCUUCUUUGCGAUGGAUAAAAGGCAAAAAGAGAGGGCAAAAAAGCCAACGGCAAAUUCCAACCAGACCCCCAGAGGCACACACCACAAAAAGUGAAGCCAGAGAGAGCCAGACAAAGAGAAGGAUAGAGAGAGAGGGAGAGUUAGACCCCCCCGGAAGAGAAUCAUAGGUGCUGCGGCCUUUUUCGGGAAUGUGACCAGGAAAGAGAGAAACCGACGAGGCCGAUACACACAUUAAAAAAUGAAAAAGUAACCAUCACCGCGAAGGAUUUUCCUCAAAAGACAAAUCAGCAAGAAGUAUGUCCAAUCCCGGGGGCCCAUCGCCCCUCCAAAUUAAUGGAGGGGUCGGAUAGAAAUUUAUAGAAAUGUUACUUUUGUGAACCCCUAGCCGACGAGAGAACUCUCACCGGUUUCGAAGUUCCAUUUUCACAUUCCGACCUGGGAUGUUAUGACUCCUCGGCCCACACUGCGAACGCGUCCCACACCCCCUCCAAGUUUAUCAGGAAUUUCACCUGAGCUUGCAAUAGAGAUCGAGCGCGGUGGCGGUCACAGUGGUGGUCGACCAGGCGGAGCUUGAACGGCCUCGGCAAACACUUCUCCCCACCCUCCCAAAUGAAUGAGAGAAUGGCUUGACAAUACCGAGGCCAUCGCCCCCCGCCAAAAAUGGUUACUAGCUCUUGGGACUCGCUGCGACGUUACGCGUAUCGGCACAAGACCAACCCUCUUUUUCCAGUCGCCCGCGCACCAAAAAAAAUUUUGGCAGCGGGACUCACAAUCCUUGACAGCCAGCUCACCAUAUAAUACUCGGCGACCCUCCGCGGGACCUCCUCAGAGGGUCGCGUCGCCGGGAAACUAACCCCCACUCCUCACUGAUCCAAGGUAACACGCCAGAAGUAUCCAGGUAACCCCAGUAGUAUCCAGGUAUCCCCCCUGCGAACGUCGGUACUGGGCUCAAAGAAGGCAGCGAGCAGUCGGGACCCGUAGGCACCGAGCAACCGUCACCCCCUCACGACUUUUCCCGAGACGCUUCAGAGGAACCCUUCCCCCACAUAGUACUCUCUGUGGGAUUCGGCAGGCCCCCCCGUCCUACUGCACUAAGGAAGUUCCGAGACACACUUUUUUUUGUGGAAGACCACCCACCCUCCCUGUCCUGCCUGCUAUCCCCGCCGCGACUCCUGGUCCCGGCCCUCCUCCCCGACUUCCUCCUUGUCCCGCUGCGAGUCCCGGACCUCCUCCCCCACUACCUACUCCCGCCGCGAGUCCCAGUCCCGGCCUUCCUCCUCCUCCUCCUCUUCCCUAGUCCCGGCGCGAGUCCCGGACCUCCUCCCCCACUUCCUAGUCCCGUCGCGAGUCCCGGACCUCCUCCCCCUCUUCCUAGUCCCGGCGCGAGUCCCGGACCUCCUCCUUCUCUUCCUUGUCCCGCCGCGAGUCCCAGUCCCGUCGCGAGUCCCGGACUUCCUCCUUCUCUUCCUUGUCCCGCCGCGACUCCCUAGUCCCGUGGCGAGUCCCGGACUUCCUCCUCCUCUUCCUUGUCCCGCCGCGACUCCCUAGUCCCGGCGCGAGUCCCGGACUUCCUCCUCCUCUUCCUUGUCCCGCCGCGACUCCCUAGUCCCGGCGCGAGUCCCAGUCCCCUCCUCCUCUUCCUUGUCCCGCCGCGACUCCCUAGUCCCGGCGCGAGUCCCAGUCCCGUCGCGAGUCCCGGACUUCCUCCUCCUCUUCCUUGUCCCGCCGCGACUCCCUAGUCCCGGCGCGAGUCCCAGUCCCGUCGCGAGUCCCGGACUUCCUCCUCCUCUUCCUUGUCCCGCCGCGACUCCCUAGUCCCGGCGCGAGUCCCAGUCCCGUCGCGAGUCCCGGACUUCCUCCUCCUCUUCCUUGUCCCGCCGCGACUCCCUAGUCCCGGCGCGAGUCCCAGUCCCGUCGCGAGUCCCGGACUUCCUCCUCCUCUUCCUUGUCCCGCCGCGACUCCCUAGUCCCGGCGCGAGUCCCAGUCCCGUCGCGAGUCCCGGACUUCCUCCUCCUCUUCCUUGUCCCGCCGCGACUCCCUAGUCCCGGCGCGAGUCCCAGUCCCGUCGCGAGUCCCGGACUUCCUCCUCCUCUUCCUUGUCCCGCCGCGACUCCCUAGUCCCGGCGCGAGUCCCAGUCCCGUCGCGAGUCCCGGACUUCCUCCUCCUCUUCCUUG
rnacentral:lncRNA from 1 species